AUAUAUAUUAAUAAACAAUAUAAUCCAAAUACAACAAACUAAUAAAACAAAUUCUGUAAAUGAGUUUUGAAAUGUUGCUAUUCACAGAUGUCCUCCAGACUGGACGGGAGAUUACUGCCAGACAAACGUAUACAACGUGGUCUCAACCUCAAUUGGAAUAGCGAUUGGAGUGACAGUAUUGAUCGUGGCUCUGCUGGUUGCUCUGGUCUAUGCUGCCAGGAAGAAGUCCAACCUGCUGGAGGGGGUACGGAGACACUUGCCCUCCAUGCCCUCCAUGCCCUCCAUGCCCUCCAUGCCAAGAUUCAGAAAUAGUCCGUCUCCAAAUGCAUCGAUAGCAGAUGAGAGUGAAGCAAGGCUGAAUUGUGAAACGGCUCCCUGUAUGUCUGUGUCCACGGGGGAAACGGUCGAGAAGAGUUUUGAUAACCCGGCAUAUGAAGUUGGAGACCAAGCCGCUGCCACGAGCACGGUGGCAACCACCUCCGCUCCUGAAGGAACAAACCAGGAGAACAUGAAUAACCCUUUGUAUAUGGAAGAAGUUCAAGUGGUGGACGAGCCCACAACAAGUGCAAACAUACCCGCCGUCGUCAACACGGGGCCUUUUGAGAACCCGGCCUACGGCAUGGAAGAUGUUGACAUCACUUUUACACAACCAGCUGCUUCAAGCACACAGCAAUUUCAACACACUGUGGACGAAGGUUGUGAGUCUUUCAAAAACCCCACGUACACGGAGCACGCACCAGAUUCUGACGUUUGAUGUGACAUCAGAGAUUGGCCUGGACCGCGUUGCAGGACUGAAGCCUCACUCAUUCUCAUUGGAGGACGCAACAAAAGACCCAGAACAAAUCAACCAAGACAUUUUGUAAAUGAGACAUGAUUUUAUGAGAGACUCAUUCAAUAAGCGAAUA
rnacentral:lncRNA from 1 species